CUUUUUCCUAUCUGUAUUUUGAGUUUCCUUUUAGAAAGGAGUAGGAUCCUUCAUUUAAGGAAGUUUAAAAUGAAAAUCGGUGAUUCAUUUUUUUUCGUGAUGAAGACAUCUCUCUAAAGAAAAUGAAUUGGAACAAAUGACUAAUUUUUCAUGGAUUGCCAUUCAGCCAGCAGGUUCCACAAGGAAUAAUGCUCCAGGGUUAAGAGAAAGACCUUGCAGCUUUACUGAAAGCAUCCACUUCCACAGCUUUUCCAGAAAGAACUGCUCAAUAUUCCCAGUCCCUAUGUGCUCAGUUGUGGUUCAAAGAUGUCAAAGAUGGGCUUUCUCCAAGCAUUUCUGAUGUUGUAUUGGACUUCGCAACAAGGAUAAGGCUGCUAGAGAUAGAAAAUGAUCGUGAAAGACUUUUCGCUGUGUUUCUUGUGGCCAUGCCGGCCCUCAGACAUCCCC
rnacentral:lncRNA from 1 species